rnacentral:rRNA from 1 species
UACGUAGGGGGCAAGCGUUGUCCGGAUUUAUUGGGCGUAAAGAGCGUGUAGGCGGCCAAGCAGGUCAGCUGUGAAAACUCGAGGCUCAACCUCGAGACGUCGGUUGAAACCGCUUGGCUAGAGUCCGGAAGAGGAGAGUGGAAUUCCCGGUGUAGCGGUGAAAUGCGCAGAUAUCGGGAAGAACACCCGUGGCGAAGGCGGCUCUCUGGGACGGUACUGACGCGUGAGACGCGAAAGCGUGGGGAGCGAACGAGG